UAGCGGAACCUGGUUCCGCUACACAGUAGCUGGCACUUGGAGUGCUUCUGGUGUUGUUAUCAGAAGGUCCUCCAUUGUGCAUGUAGCAAGACUCAUGCUGCAUUGUAGAAGGUCGUCUGUGGUUUGGUCUGUCAGAGUAAUUUACGCAGCGCAGCAGCAGUUGGGUGGAGUCAGAGGAACGCAGCACGAAGAGACAUCAGAGACGAUGGUAAAACUAUAUACAAGUAUAUACACUUCGGCAGAAAAAAGGAAAUCAAAGAUACAGAAUGGGGGACGCCUGGCUUGAGAGCAGUGUGUGCGAAAAAGACCUUGGAGUCCUCGUGGACAACAAGUUAAACAUGAGCAAACAAUGUGAUGCGGCUGCUAAAAAAGCCAACGGGAUUCUGGCCUGCAUCAAUAGGGGAAUAGCGUCUAGAUCCAGGGAAGUUAUGCUCCCCCUCUAUUCUGCCUUGGUCAGACCACACCUGGAAUACUGUGUCCAAUUUUGGGCACCGCAGUUGAAGGGAGAUGUUGAACUUCAUUUUGUUAGUUUCGGCCCAUCUCUCUAGUCUGUCAAGAUCGUUUUGAAUUCUGCUCCUGUCUUCUGGAGUGUUAGUUAUCCCUCCCAGUUUGGUGUCAUCUGCAAACUUGAUGAUCGUGCCUUCUAACCCUUCGUCUAAGUCAUUAAUAAAGAUGUUAAACAGAACCGAGCCCAGGACGGAACCCUGCGGCACUCCACUCCUGACUUCUUUCCAAAAUGAAGACGACGCAUUGGUGAGCAAUGAACCCUUUGGGUUCGUUUGCUUAGCCAAUUACAGAUCCACCUAACCGUAGUUUUGUCUAGCUCACAUUUUACUAGUUUGUUUGCCAGAAGGUCAUGAGGGACUUUGUCAAAGGCCUUACUGAAAUCCAGGUACGCUACAUCCACAGCAUUCCCUGUAUCGACCCAACUCGUAACUCUAUCGAAAAAAGAGAUCAGAUUAGUCUGGCAUGACUUGUUUUUGGUAAAUCCAUGUUGACUAUUAGCAAUGACUGCAUUUGUUUCUAAGUGUUUCUUAACUUGUGGGUCCCCAGGUGUUUUGACUAACAACUGCCAGAAAUCCCAGCCAGUUUACCAGCUGUUAGGAUUUUGGGGAGUAGAAGGCCAAAACAUCUGGGGACCCCAGGUUGAGAACCACUUGCCUAGAGAGUAUUGAGUUAGUAUUCCAAUGGAUAAAAGACAGGGUGCAACCACACUGUAGAAUUAAAGCAGUUUCAGUGCUGCUUGAACUACCAUGAUUCAAUGCUAUAGAACAUUGAGAGCUGUAGUUUUCCAAGAUCUUUAACCUUUUCUGCCAGAGUGCUGGUGUCUUAUCAGUCUAUAACCCUCAGGAUUCCAUAGCAUUGAGCCAUAGCAGUUAAAGGGGUGUUAAAUCACACUAAUUCUUUAAUGUAGGUGCAUCCUCAGUCACAAUCAGACAUUCAUCUUCAGAUGAGCAUCUUCAGCCAAUCAAAAUAUCAGAACUGAAAGAGAUGGUU
rnacentral:lncRNA from 1 species